GGCCGUCUAGCUCAGUUGGUUAGAGCGUCGUGCUAAUAGUUGCUUGUGUAACUGUGACGCGAAGGUCUUGGGUUCGACCCCCACGAUGGCCA